GAUGAACGCUGGCGGCGUGCUUAACACAUGCAAGCCGAACGGAAAGGCCCAAGCUUGCUUGGGUACUCGAGUGGCGAACGGGUGAGUAACACGUGGGUGAUCUGCCCUGCACUUCGGGAUAAGCCUGGGAAACUGGGUCUAAUACCGGAUAGGACCACAUUUUGGAUGGUGUGGUGGAAAGUUUUUCGGUGUGGGAUGAGCUCGCGGCCUAUCAGCUUGUUGGUGGGGUAAUGGCCUACCAAGGCGUCGACGGGUAGCCGGCCUGAGAGGGUGUACGGCCACAUUGGGACUGAGAUACGGCCCAGACUCCUACGGGAGGCAGCAGUGGGGAAUAUUGCACAAUGGGCGCAAGCCUGAUGCAGCGACGCCGCGUGGGGGAUGACGGCCUUCGGGUUGUAAACUCCUUUCGCUAGGGACGAAGCGCAAGUGACGGUACCUGGAGAAGAAGCACCGGCUAACUACGUG
rnacentral:rRNA from 1 species